AUCUAUGGCCAUGCUACCCUGAACAAGCCCGAUCCUGUCUGAUCUCGGAAGCUCAGCAGGGUCGGGCCUGAUUAGUACUUGGAUGGGAGACCACCUAGGAAGACCAGGUGCUGUAGGCA
rnacentral:rRNA from 1 species